rnacentral:piRNA from 1 species
AGUAACUAUCUACUGUUCAGGCACGAGCUC